rnacentral:SRP_RNA from 1 species
GCUGGGCGUGGUGGUGUGCACCUGUAAUCCCAGCUACUUGGGAGGCUGAGGUAGGAGAAUCGCUUGAACCCAGGAGACAUAGGUUGCAGUGAGCCGAGAUUGUUCCACUGCACUCCAGCCUGGGUGACAGAGCGAGAUUCCAUCUCAG